ACCAACAGGGAUUGCCCCAGUAACGGCGAGUGAAGCGGCAACAGCUCAAAUUUGAAAUCUGGCCCCCAGGGCCCGAGUUGUAAUUUGCAGAGGAUGCUUUUGGCGCGGCGCCUUCCGAGUUCCCUGGAACGGGACGCCAUAGAGGGUGAGAGCCCCGUCUGGUCGGACGCCAAGCCAGUGUAAAGCUCCUUCGACGAGUCGAGUAGUUUGGGAAUGCUGCUCUAAAUGGGAGGUAUAUGUCUUCUAAAGCUAAAUAUAGGCCAGAGACCGAUAGCGCACAAGUAGAGUGAUCGAAAGAUGAAAAGCACUUUGAAAAGAGGGUUAAACAGUACGUGAAAUUGUUGAAAGGGAAGCACUUGUGACCAGACUUGGGCCCGGUGAAUCAUCCAGCGUUCUCGCUGGUGCACUUCGCCGGGCCCAGGCCAGCAUCAGUUCGCCGCGGGGGAUAAAAGCUUCGGGAACGUAGCUCCCUCGGGAGUGUUAUAGCCCGUUGCAUAAUACCCUGCGGUGGACUGAGGUUCGCGCUCCGCAAGGAUGCUGGCGUAAUGGUCACCAGUGACCCGUCUUGAAACACGGACCAAGGAGUCGUCUUCGUAUGCGAGUGUUCGGGUGUCAAACCCCUACGCGUAAUGAAAGUGAACGCAGGUGAGAGCUUCGGCGCAUCAUCGACCGAUCCUGAUGUUCUCGGAUGGAUUUGAGUAAGAGCAUACGGGGCCGGACCCGAAAGAAGGUGAACUAUGCCUGUAUAGGGUGAAGCCAGAGGAAACUCUGGUGGAGGCUCGCAGCGGUUCUGACGUGCAAAUCGAUCGUCAAAUAUGGGCAUGGGGGCGAAAGACUAAUCGAACCUU
rnacentral:rRNA from 1 species